GUGCUGGUGAUUCAGUGGUAGAAUUCGUGCUUUCUAUGCAGGGGACCUGGGUUUGAUUCCCUGCCAAUGCA
rnacentral:tRNA from 1 species